CCUACGGGAGGCAGCAGUAGGGAAUAUUGCUCAAUGGGGGAAACCCUGAAGCAGCAACGCCGCGUGGAGGAUGAAGGUUUUCGGAUUGUAAACUCCUGUUGUUAGAGAAGAAAAUGACGGUAUCUAACGAAUAAGCACCGGCUAACUCCGUGCCAGCAGCCGCGGUAAUACGGAGGGUGCAAGCGUUACUCGGAAUCACUGGGCGUAAAGAGCGCGUAGGCGGGAUAGCAAGUCAGAUGUGAAAUCCUAGGGCUUAACCAUAGAACUGCAUUUGAAACUGUUAUUCUAGAGUAUGGGAGAGGUAGGUGGAAUUCUUGGUGUAGGGGUGAAAUCCGUAGAGAUCAGGAGGAAUACUCAUUGCGAAGGCGGCCUGCUAGAACAUAACUGACGCUGAUGCGCGAAAGCGUGGGGAGCAAACAGGAUUAGAUACCCCAGUAGUC
rnacentral:rRNA from 1 species